rnacentral:rRNA from 1 species
CACGUAGUUAGCCGUGACUUUCUGGCGGGGCACCAUCAGUCAGCACCCAUUUCCUGAUGCUGCCUUUUUUCCCCCGCAACAGAGCUUUACGGCCCGAAGGCCUUCUUCACUCACGCGGCAUCGCUCGUUCAGGCUUGCGCCCAUUGACGAAAAUUCCCUACUGCUGCCUCCCGCAGGAGUCUGGGCCGUGUCUCAGUCCCAAUGUGGCCGUCCGCCCUCUCAGGCCGGCUAUGCAUCAUCGUCUUGGUGGGCCUUUACCCGCCAACCAACUAAUGCACCGCAGGUCCAUCCGCGCCCCAUCCCCUAGACGGAUGUUUCACAGAAAGAAGAUGCCUCUUCCUGUACAUCGGAUUUGUCUCGUUUCAGAGCGUAUCCCGGUGCGCGGGCAGGUUCCCUACGUGUUACUCACCCGUUCGCCACUAGAGACCCGAAGGUCUCUCGUUCGACUUGCAUGUAUUAGGCAUGCGCCAGCUUCAUCCUGAGCAGGAUA